UGGGAGAGAAGCAGCACAGUGUCAGCCUUGUAAUACUCCUUGAACACAACUAAGAUGAGGCUCCUGGCUUGGCUUUGUGUGGCUGCUUCAUGGAUGGCAGCCGCCAACAGCUCAAUCCUGACUCAGAUCCCAAACUCCAUAAUUAUCCCAGAAAACAAGUCUGUUUCCAUUACUUGCAAAGGGGAAGCCCAAAUCGCCCAAAAGGGAAUUUUCUGGUACCGGCAGACCAAUGGAAUAUAUGACUUUCAGUUCCUCGUGCAUAUAAGCACCAGCGGCAGAGAAACGCACGCAGAAGGCAUUGAUCAACGGUUCAAAACUACUCUGAGAACUGGACCCGAACUCUGCACCUUGAAGAUCAGUCUGCUCAAGAAGGAAGACAGCGGGAUGUAUUAUUGCUCCGUCUCACAUGGUGGAACAUUCACAGUGGCCAAUGGAACCAACCUGACAGUAGGAGAGCUUCCUCCACCUCCACCUCCACCCCCAACCACCAAGCCCACGAAGCCAAAGCCAAGAAAACUCUGCCCCUGUUCCAGUGGGAAUCUGAAGACGAAGGGCUUCUCCUGUGGCUCUCUGGUUUUGGGCCCCCUGGCUGGAGGUGCUGCCGCCCUGCUUGUUGCUGUGGUCAGCACCCUGUACUAUUUCAGCAGGCUGCCCAAGAAGUGUCGUCACAGAAUUAGAAGGAAGAAGCUGUUGCAAUGAAUCAUCUCUUUUCUGGGGUUCCUGGGGGCCAUCAAUCAAGGCAAGUUUUUUUUUUUUUUAAUUUAUAUCGAUAUGUGCAUAAUAUAAAGUAGUUCAGUCUGUUUUUACAUACGUUAUAUUGCACUGCAGAUGCUGAGCUCAGUAAUGCACAGAAAGGACAAUAACCUUCCAAUUCAACGCAUGUAAAGUUAAAGCAGAAACAUCUUACAAGGAUUUGAUGGUACUGCAUUUUAAAGAACAGAGUUAUAUGUUGUUGUUUUUUUUAAUUCCGGAAACAUGAAACACUCCCUGCCCCCCCUCCCCCGCUUCGUCUCAGAGAGGAUUAGUUAGAACCACAGCGCAGUGCAGAGCAGGAGUUGCAAAAUUGCGAU